GCGGUUGCCAUGGGACCAGGCGCAGGCGGAAGCCGAAGCAACAGGCGGGAAGCGCGAGGUUAUGUGCUGGCUUAGCCUGGCUGUGUGCAGGGUUAGGCGCGCGCAACACACUGAGCCUCAGUGGGCUGAAAAGAGCCGGGCUCUGUAUAGGAUUGCAGGUUUAGGCGGAGUGGGCGGCGGCAAAAGAAAGCCACCAUGCGUUUCCCUCAUUUCUUGGUUUUCCAUUAAUGUAGCUGUAAGUUCAUGAAGAUACCAACAAAAGAGUUUUACCAGUAGAUGGAGAUAUGUACAAAGAAACAGUUUGUUUUACUAUUAAAUGCUUCCUUCCCUACAGAAAGAACUGGCCUUGGUUUAAAAAUCAUUAGAGUGAAUUUAAUAGAGAAAAGAAUAAUCAAUGAAUGACAUUUUGAAAUGGAUUUUAAUAAACUGCAAAAUAAAUACUGACUUCUUGCCACAGUACUUGAGAGUUUAGUGGAAUAAUUGGUUUCCACGGCAGCUUAUCUGUAGCAUGAAUAAUGUGUGGGUACAAUACAGAUAUUUUUCCUCCAAGCCCCAUUGAAAUAACUGUAAACUAUAUAAAAUGUAUAUUUGACUGCAACAACAGUAUUUCCUACAGAUGUAAGUCCAACAAUAACUGUAUUGAUAAAAUUUAACCAUUUGACUAUGGUUAUCACUGAUUAGAGCUAUUUUUCUUUUUUUAAGAACACUUUGAAUUUCUAACGCUUUUCAGAUCAACCUACAGACUAAGCAAGAAAUACAUACAUACAUAAUUUUACUUGUACACCACCUUUCCAUCAUUUAAACCAUGCUCAAAGUGGCUUGUAGCAUAAAAACACAUUUUGUUACAAGCAUAACAAAAACAGCCAUAAACAAUUAGUAAAACUUCAAAAAGUACAAAACCAAAUUAAACCGUUUCCACAUAAAUCAUAAUAAGAUCUAAAAUAAAGAUACAAAAAAUUAAUAUCGAAAACAGCAACAGCUCCACCCCAACAAAAAAAAAACCCUGAACAAAAACCCCAGCUCAAUAGACUUUCAUCAGUUUCAGCUUCUGCAGCUGGAGUCAGUCAGGGCCCCGCCCUCCCAGGCCAGGUGGGGAAAGGCCUGCAAGGCAGGGAGCAAGUUUUCCAGAACUUUCAGCCAAGAUGGAAAAGGGCCAAAACUGAGCAGCAGGACAUCUGUUCUUCUGGAAGGUCCUAGGUUCAAUUUUCAACAUCUCCAGGUAGGACUGGGAAUAUCCCUUUCUGAAAGAUUAGUCAGACUGUGUAUGUAUUAACAGCUGAAACAUAGCAAGGUAAUUAUUCUUCUCUUCAAACUGAAACUGUUGAGUUUUUUGCAGGGGACAAUGCAUCAAUAUGCAGUAUGCCAUAAGAAAUGACAAGAUAAAUACACGAUUGUGGCAAACUGUGUGUACACAGCACCCAAACCAGCAAUAGGAGCUGACUGGAUACUGUGUGAAUGGGAGUGGGAGUGAGUAGAUAAUUCUGAGCUAGAAUCAGUGGUCUGAUUCAGUAUAAGGCAGUUUCCCAUACAGUGGUACCUCGGGUUACAUACGCUUCAGGUUACAGACUCUGCUAACC